UACAGAGGUCUCAAGCGUUGUUCGGAUUCAUUGGGCGUAAAGAGUUCGUAGGCGGCAUGGUAAGUAGGGUGUGAAAUCCCUCGGCUCAACCGAGGAAUUGCGCUCUAAACUACCGUGCUAGAGGAAGCUAGAGGUGAGCGGAACUGAUGGUGGAGCGGUGAAAUGCGUUGAUAUCAUCAGGAACACCGGAGGCGAAGGCGGCUCACUGGGGCUUUUCUGACGCUGAGGAACGAAAGCCAGGGUAGCGAACGGG
rnacentral:rRNA from 1 species